rnacentral:rRNA from 1 species
AACGAACGCUGGCGGCAGGCUUAAGACAUGCAAGUCGAGCGCCCCGCAAGGGGAGCGGCAGACGGGUGAGUAACGCGUGGGAAUCUACCCAUCUCUACGGAAUAACGCAUGGAAACGUGUGCUAAUACCGUAUACGUCCUUCGGGAGAAAGAUUUAUCGGAGAUGGAUGAGCCCGCGUUGGAUUAGCUAGUUGGUGGGGUAAAGGCCUACCAAGGCGACGAUCCAUAGCUGGUCUGAGAGGAUGAUCAGCCACACUGGGACUGAGACACGGCCCAGACUCCUACGGGAGGCAGCAGUGGGGAAUAUUGGACAAUGGGCGCAAGCCUGAUCCAGCCAUGCCGCGUGAGUGAUGAAGGCCCUAGGGUUGUAAAGCUCUUUCACCGGUGAAGAUAAUGACGGUAACCGGAGAAGAAGCCCCGGCUAACUUCGUGCCAGCAGCCGCUGUAACAC